UUUGAAGGAUAUAGGGCAUUU
rnacentral:piRNA from 1 species